rnacentral:rRNA from 1 species
UCAUUCGAUUUGUUGUGCAUUGGAUGAUGGAAAAACCAGCAAGCAGCAAGCAUAGUUAGAAAAGUUGCCAUAGCGCGCCCUACGGAGUUGUACAAAGUUAGCAACCGUUUUGGGGCGUAAGCAUGGGCAACACAGGACUGAUGACGGGGUGGGGCGCGCAGUGAACUGGUUUUCUAAAAAGAUUGGAAGAUCCGGCCAAAGAAGGUGAUAGCCCUGUUCAUUCAUUCCCAUGGUUCGAUCCUUCCCGGUAAAACGCGGCGUGUUCGAAUGAUGAUUGCUUUUACGCGAGAAAGGGGGACCACCCUCUAAGCCUAAGUAUUCCUCAAUGACCGAUAGCAU